rnacentral:rRNA from 1 species
UACGUAGGGGGCUAGCGUUGUCCGGAAUCAUUGGGCGUAAAGCGCGCGUAGGCGGCCAGAUAAGUCCGGUGUGAAAGUCACAGGCUCAACCUGUGAAUGCCGCUGGAAACUGUCUGGCUAGAGUCCGGAAGGGGCGAGUGGAAUUCCUGGUGUAGCGGUGAAAUGCGUAGAGAUCGGAAAGAACACCAACGGCGAAAGCACUCUGCUGGGCCGACACUGACACUGAGAGACGAAAGCUAGGGGAGCGAAUGGG